rnacentral:Y_RNA from 1 species
UGGCUGUCCAAAGGUAAUGAGUCAUCUCAAAUUGAUUGCUCACAGUCACUUUUAGAUCAAACUCCUUGUACUACUUUUUCUCCACUUCUCACUACUGCACUUCACUACCCUAAA